AAAUUUUUAAGCAUAAAUACUAGUUUCCCUUACCUCUAAGAGAGUUAUCACAUAUUAACAUUGUUCCCAAGUUUGCUUAGAGCUCAAGAAAUUCUAAAAACAACUACAAAUCAUGGAAAUAAGAUCAGAGAGAGUCCUUAGAACCUCUUAUAAACAAGAAACUAGGAAAAGAGAUCAAAACACACAUGUCAUGGAAGAUCACCAUGCAUGACCUCAACCUACAACGAAAAAGAAAAACAAAACUGAAACUUACUUGCUCA
rnacentral:lncRNA from 1 species